GUAGGGAAUCUUCCACAAUGGACGAAAGUCUGAUGGAGCAACGCCGCGUGAGUGAAGAAGGUCUUCGGAUCGUAAAACUCUGUUGUUAGAGAAGAACGUGCAUGAUAGUAACUGAUCAUGUAAUGACGGUAUCUAACCAGAAAGCCACGGCUAACUACGUGCCAGCAGCCGCGGUAAUACGUAGGUGGCAAGCGUUGUCCGGAUUUAUUGGGCGUAAAGGGAACGCAGGCGGUUUUUUAAGUCUGAUGUGAAAGCCUUCGGCUUAACCGAAGAUUAGCAUUGGAAACUGGAAGACUUGAGUGCAGAAGAGGAGAGUGGAAUUCCAUGUGUAGCGGUGAAAUGCGUAGAUAUAUGGAGGAACACCAGUGGCGAAGGCGACUUUCUGGACGAUGUCUGACGCUGAGGCGCGAAAGCUAGGGGAGCGAACGGGAUUAGAUACCCUGGUAGUCC
rnacentral:rRNA from 1 species